CUAUAAAAAAAAUAGUCAAGUAAAUAUUUUUUGUAUCGUCUAAUUUUUAAUGUAAAUUAAUGUUUAAUGCUUAUUUCUGUACAUAUACGUUUAGGAUAAAUCAUGUGUAAUCUGCCUUAGUUAUUUUGUGGUGUGUGUAGUGUUUACUUUUCGUGUAUUGUGCUGGUAAAAAAAUUAUAAUCAUGUCUAAAGACAAAUGCUGCGUGGGAGGAUGCAGUAACGUCCCACCAUAUUUUAAGUUCCCUACCAGUCGGGUGAUAUUCCGCAAAUGGCUGUCAGCAUUAGGCACGCGGUGCAAGAUCAAACUGGCGGACCAUCACGCGGUGA